GCCCGGUUAGCUCAAUCGGUAGAGCGUGAGACUCUUAAUCUCAAGGUUGCGGGUGAGUGACUAGAGAAAAAUUCAUCCAUGGUUACCAAAUACUGAUGCUAAAUAAUAGGUUCGACCCCCGCAUUGGGCU